GACGAACGCUGGCGGCGUGCUUAACACAUGCAAGUCGAACGAUGAAGCAGAGAAACGCGCACUUCGGUUCAAAUUUCACUUCGGAUUAGUGGCAGACGGGUGAGUAACGCGUGAGCAACCUACCUCUUACAAAGGGAUAGCCUCGGGAAACCGUGAUUAAUACCAUAUGACACAUUCAUAAGGCAUCUUAAGAAUGUUAAAGCUACGGCGGUAAGAGAUGGGCUCGCGUCCCAUUAGCUAGUUGGUGAGGUAACGGCCCACCAAGGCGACGAUGGGUAACCGGCCUGAGAGGGUGAACGGUCACAUUGGAACUGAGACACGGUCCAAACUCCUACGGGAGGCAGCAGUGGGGAAUAUUGCACAAUGGAGGGAACUCUGGUGCAGCGACGCCGCGUGAGCGAUGAAGGAAUUCGUGUCGUAAAGCUCUGUUCUAUGGGAAGAAAAGGACUGUACCAUAGGAGAAAGCCCCGGCUAAAUACGUG
rnacentral:rRNA from 1 species